GUCCCUGUAGCGCAAUGGAUAGCGCGUUGGACUUCUAAUCCGAAUGUCAUGGGUUCGAAUUUCAUCAGGGAUG